CUUCCUUCUCAGGGGGAAGGUUCUCACACUCUUCCUCUGCUUUCACAUGGGCUCCUCCAUGGGCUGCGGGUGUGUCUCUGCUCUCCGAUGGACCUCUGGUGGCUGCAGCUGCCAAGCAUCUACGUGCUGCUGCAGAGACUGGCAUGGCCUGUUCCAUGUCAGGGGUAGAACUUCAGUCCAUGCUGACUUGACCCACAUGGAGACCAGGGCUGAUCGUCCUCUCAGGGUGAGACUGCAGAAUGUGGAUUUAAUUUCCAGCCACUCCUCCACCUCUGUCUUACUGCCUCUCCUGACAUCCUCUCCUUGGCAUUGCUUCUGACAACACCAAAGUAAUUUGCCAGCUGCA